rnacentral:rRNA from 1 species
CGAGUGAGAAUGCCGGAAUGAGUAGCGAGAAUUAUGUGAGAAUCAUAAUGGCCGAAAAUCUAAGGUUUCCUGAGGAAGGUUCGUCCGCUCAGGGUAAGCCGGGGGCUAAGGCGAGGCGGAGACGCGUAGCCGAUGCACAUACGGUUGAAAUUCCGUAGCCACCGAAAGAUUUAAGUACAGGGACGCUUUAGAAGUGAUGUUGCCGGGCGAUGGUUGACCCGGUCGUAAGGGAUCGAAAAUGAGUAGAGAAGUCAUCAUGGAAAGAGACAAGAAAAGCUGUAUGAAUAUCUUAGGUGCCCGUACCGCAAACCGACACAGGUAGAUAGGAAGAAGAUUCUAAGGCCAACGGGAGAAGGGUUGUUAAGGAACUCGGCAAGUUGACCCCGUAACUUAGGGAUAAGGGGUGCUCAAGUGAUUGAGCCGCAGAGAAUAGGCCCAGGCGACUGUUUAGCAAAAACACAGGUCUCUGCUAAAUCGAAAGAUGACGUAUAGGGGCUGACACCUGCCCGGUGCCGGAAGGUUAAGAGGAGAUGUGAGAGCAUUGAAUUGAAGCCCCGGUAAACGGCGGCCGUAACUAUAACGGUCCUAAGGUAGCGAAAUUCCUUGUCAGGUAAGUUCUGACCCGCACGAAAGGUGUAACGAUCUGGGCACUGUCUCAACAACCCGCCCGGCGAAAUUGUAGUACCGGUGAAGAUGCCGGUUACCCGCGACUAGACGGAAAGACCCCAUGGAGCUUUACUGUAGCCUAAUAUUGGAUUUCGGUAUUUCACGUACAGGAUAGGUGGGAGACUGGGAAGCACAGGCGUCAGCUUGUGUGGAGUCGACCUUGGGAUACCACUCUUGGAGUGCUGGAAUUCUAACCUGCGGCUUUGAAGCAAGUCGGGGGACAUUGUUAGGUGGGCAGUUUGACUGGGGCGGUCGCCUCCUAAAGAGUAACGGAGGCGCUCAAAGGUUCGCUCUGCAUGGAUGGAAACCAUGCGUCAGAGUGUAAACGCAAAAGCGAGCCUAACUGCGAGAAUGACGGUUCGAGCAGUAACGAAAGUUGGAGUUAGUGAUCCGGCGGUAUGUGAAUGGAAAUGCCGUCGCUCAACGGAUAAAAGCUACCCUGGGGAUAACAGGCUGAUCUCCCCCAAGAGUCCACAUCGACGGGGAGGUUUGGCACCUCGAUGUCGGCUCAUCGCAUCCUGGGGCUGAAUUCGGUCCCAAGGGUUUGGCUGUUCGCCAAUUAAAGCGGUACGCGAGCUGGGUUCAGAACGUCGUGAGACAGUUCGGUCCCUAUCUGUCGUGGGCGUAGGAUAUUUGCAAGGAGCUGUCCCUAGUACGAGAGGACCGGGAUGGACGCACCUCUGGUGCACCAGUUGUCACGCCAGUGGCACAGCUGGGCAGCUAUGUGCGGAACGGAUAAACGCUGAAAGCAUCUAAGCGUGAAGCCGCCCUUAAGAUAAGAUCUCCUUUAAGACCCCUUGUAGACUACGAGGUUGAUAGGUCUGAUGUGUAAGCACGGUGACGUGUUUAGCUUGCAGAUACUAAUCGGUCGUUCGCUUUUCCU